AAAAUUCUUCCUGUGCACCUUCCUGUGCUUCAGCUUGUGCCUGUGCCUCUUGUUACUCGACACCACCAAGAAGAGCCUGGCUUCAUCCUCUUGGCACCUUCCCCUCCAAUUCCCUUACAUAUAUUGAUUAUUCCUCUUCAUAUUUUCCUCUGUGCCUUCAGCUGGACAGAGAGAUGCUCUGCUGUGGGUGUGAGCAAGCGUGGCCAAGGAAGGGUUCAUGAACUGGGACACAUGGUCUUGGUUGUGCCAAGUUCAUGAAAGGAGGGAGCAGGAGGAGGCUUGCUGCUGGCACUGGAGCUUUUGAACCACUGAGGCAGGACUGUGAGGAAUGGACAGGAGCAUUCCAUGGAAGAAGAAUGAAAAAGGCUAUGAAUUCAGGUAGAAAUAGAAAAUCUGCUGAGAGGAGAAAUCGCAGCAUGAGAGGCCUCGUGGGCUGCAGGAAGGAGGUCAGCACCACAUUUCAGAGAGGCUGUGACACAGAGCUCCUGUUUCUGCACUCUGAUGAGCUGGCUGCAGGACCGUGAUACACGCUCCAUGGCCAGCACCGACACACCGGACGUGCUUUCCAUGGGCACCUCUCCCGGGCCACUUGGAACCAAAUAUUUUUGCCAGUGACUUAGUGAUAAACUGAGAAGUGCAUUCAUUCAAUUUUUAAAUAGCAGAAUGCUGUAAGGGUUGUGAGUGUACUAGGGGGUGGGGUGAGGUGUGAGAAUGUUUCUGUCUGAUCCUGCCAAAGUCAGAUGUGUUUUCUGUAACACUUUGUAGCUGGCUGGGGGGGGCCCAUCUGAAAGCCCAAGCACCAAAGGUCUCUGUGCUGGGUCCUGCCAAACCCCUUGUGGGCUCAGCCCAGGGCUCACAGACAAGGUGGUCUCAGCACCUUGUGUUCCCCACCCCUGUCCUGGGGGUACCUGCACUGCCAGCCUGGCUGACCUGGGGCAUGGAGACUUCCACCUCCUACAACACAGCCAGCAUGGAACAAGGAAUGAGCAUAGCCAAGACCAAACAUGAUCUUCAUGAUCUACUGCUCAAAGCUCACUUUGCUGCACAGGAGGUCCUGUGGAUGGGGAACAUACAGGCAGCCCCAGAAGGGGUUAUUAGCCCCCCAACAUGUUCCCCAGCCAGCCUGCUGCCAUAGGGACAGCCUCAACAUUGGGACUCAAAGCCUAAAAUCAUCUUAACAUGCAGAUUUAAAUUGCUUUAAUAAUGAUUUUCACUUGGGCUUGGAGUUGCACGUGAUCUCUAUGUUUUACAGGGACAUUUAGUGCUGUCUCCUCUGCUGAGAGGCAGCUUUGUGUGUGGACAAGCAAGUGCCCAGGCUCAUAAAGGGAGGGUGGACUCCCAGACCUGGUAAGCCUGCUGCAAAGCUGCUGCUGUCAAGAUCUAGAGGGAGGAAAACUGGGCUCUGCUCCACCUGCCCAGGCUGCUUCCUGCUCUCACAAAGCCCUUAGAAAAAUGAAACCAGUCAAAAAUUUGCAAAAAAAAC
rnacentral:lncRNA from 1 species